CAGGACGAACGCUGGCGGCGUGCUUCAUACAUGCAAGUCGAACGAUAAGGUCUCUUCGGAGAUACAUAAGUGGCGGACGGGUGAGUAAAAUGUAGAGAAUCUGCCCUAGAGUGGGGGACAACAGUUGGAAACGACUGCUAAUACCGCAUAUGAGCGUAGCUGAAAUGCUAUUCUUGGAAACUCCGGUGCUCUGGGAUGAGUCUGCAUCUGAUUAGCUAGUUGGGGGUGUAAUGGACCACCAAGGCGACGAUCAGUAGCUGGUUUGAGAGGAUGAUCAGCCACAAUGGGACUGAGACACGGCCCAUACUCCUACGGGAGGCAGCAGUAGGGAAUUUUGCGCAAUGGGGGAAACCCUGACGCAGCAACGCCGCGUGACCGAUGAAGCCCUUCGGGGUGUAAAGGUCUGUCAGUGGGGACGAAACUUGACGGUACCCACAGAGGAAGCAUCGGCUAACUCCGUGCCAGCCGCCGC
rnacentral:rRNA from 1 species